AAUGUUCCAUCCCUAGCUAGUGAAGCCAACUUUUAUCAAAGCUACAGCAUUCAAGGACAGCGUCACCAGCGCUCUUAUAUGUACAUACACAAAUAUGGAUAUGAUUCAGUGGCCUUCAUUGCUGUUGAUGCUUGUCUUCUUCCAGGGCCCAAAAGGCCAUUUAAUUUUAUUGGUAUGCUUACAAACAAAGAAAUGAAGCUACUUCAAGAAUUUGAUACUGCCAGCCGCAAGAGUAAUUACUCUGUGUGGUUUGGCCAUUAUCCGACCUCUUGUAUACUCUCCCCUGAGCCAGGGAUUCGUCGAGUCAUGGGCCAUGGGCUGGCAUACUUAUGUGGCCACCUACACACCCUAGGAGGACUUGCACCAAAUAUGUAUACCAGGCAGCAAACUGGUUCAUUAGAACUAGAAUUAGGCGACUGGAAGGAUGGCAGAAUUUUUCGAGUAGCUGCAAUAGACCAUGGUCUGUUUUCUUUUACGGAUGUGACGCAUGGCACAUGGCCCAUUAUCCUUGUCACCAACCCCAAGCACGCUUUAUUUGCCAUGCCCCUCCACGAACCACUGCACCUCUUGAGGGAAUCUUCGCAUAUCAGGGUGCUGAUUUGGUCACUAGCUCCCAUUGUAGAGGCUAGAGUUAGACUGGAUGAGUCCCAGUCGUGGCUUGUACUUUCCCAUGUAGAAGGACCAUUGUAUGUAACUAAAUGGAAUGCUGAGAGAUAUGCAGAUGGAAUACAUUCACUAGUGGUACAUGUUAGAGACAGAGAUGGACGGGAAAGAACAGUUACCCAGCCAUUUUCUCUUGACGAAUCUCGACCAUCAUUUAGUUUUUGGCCCAGAGCUCUCUUGAUGUCGAAUGUCUCAAUGUGUUUCCAAUUCCUGUUUGGUAUCAUGGUGUGCAUAUGUGUGAUUCCUCUUUGUAUACUUCGAUACAUACAUCAUUUAGUUCUUGAACGCCGGAUGGUACGACCACGUCUUAAGUGGUCUAUUUGUAACACCAUAUUACGGAAGCUGUGGGUAAUGGUGUCAGUGGACAGACUCUUUUGGCCUUUAAUCCUGACAGCCAUAUAUUUGCCACUCGGACCCUGGUUUGUUGGGGAAGUGAUUGAAGACCAUAUUGGUGUGGUAUUUGCAUGGGGGACCUUUGUCAACAGAAGCUACCUACCUGGGUCUCUCACUUAUGCCUAUGGAUUCUUUCAGAUGGUGGUCUUCCAAGUACCACUCAUUAUGGCAGUUUCCCAUUGCAUUGACCUACGUGUGUUGCUGUGUCGGGGUCGCGCUCUGACUCAGCAGUGGGCUGCGACCGGCGGGCGGACAGACUCCGGGGAAGCUCUGCCCACUGAUUGUUGUAGCUGCCCGGAUUUUUUUAUUUUGGCUACAAAAUGCACCCGGCGUGACUGGUUUAAACUAAAAAUUACUUUCAAAAGUGGUCAGGAAUAUUAUCCCAUAACUCAAUAUCCCAUGUCCCUGGGAUAUUGAGCUAUGGUCCAGUAGUUUGUUCAGCAGUGAAUUAUAUUUGUUGUCAUUCAUACUUAUACAUACAAAGUUGGAUACAGAAUGUGAUUUAUAUGUCAUGUUUUAUACUUAUAUAUGUAUUUGAUUUUUUCAGAUUUCGGUCAUUGUACAUAAGCCCCAUCUGCAGUUUCCCCCAGUACCUUUGGCGACAUAUUUGUUUGCUGAUAAUUAUUACAAGUCAGAUGAUCUCAGCUUACUUCUUUUGGUUGGCGUAUGGCACGAUGGCACUCCUCCUGGGCCCU
rnacentral:misc_RNA from 1 species